rnacentral:rRNA from 1 species
GAUGAACGCUGGCGGCGUGCCUAAUACAUGCAAGUCGAGCGAACGGACGAGAAGCUUGCUUCUCUGAUGUUAGCGGCGGACGGGUGAGUAACACGUGGAUAACCUACCUAUAAGACUGGGAUAACUUCGGGAAACCGGAGCUAAUACCGGAUAAUAUUUUGAACCGCAUGGUUCAAAAGUGAAAGACGGUCUUGCUGUCACUUAUAGAUGGAUCCGCGCUGCAUUAGCUAGUUGGUAAGGUAACGGCUUACCAAGGCAACGAUGCAUAGCCGACCUGAGAGGGUGAUCGGCCACACUGGAACUGAGACACGGUCCAGACUCCUACGGGAGGCAGCAGUAGGGAAUCUUCCGCAAUGGGCGAAAGCCUGACGGAGCAACGCCGCGUGAGUGACGAAGGUCUUCGGAUCGUAAAACUCUGUUAUUAGGGAAGAACAUAUGUGUAAGUAACUGUGCACAUCUUGACGGUACCUAAUCAGAAAGCCACGGCUAACUACGUGCCAGCAGCCGCGGUAAUACGUAGGUGGCAAGCGUUAUCCGGAAUUAUUGGGCGUAAAGCGCGCGUAGGCGGUUUUUUAAGUCUGAUGUGAAAGCCCACGGCUCAACCGUGGAGGGUCAUUGGAAACUGGAAAGCUUGAGUGCAGAAGAGGAAAGUGGAAUUCCAUGUGUAGCGGUGAAAUGCGCAGAGAUAUGGAGGAACACCAGUGGCGAAGGCGACUUUCUGGUCUGUAACUGACGCUGAUGUGCGAAAGCGUGGGGAUCAAACAGGAUUAGAUACCCUGGUAGUCCACGCCGUAAACGAUGAGUGCUAAGUGUUAGGGGGUUUCCGCCCCUUAGUGCUGCAGCUAACGCAUUAAGCACUCCGCCUGGGGAGUACGACCGCAAGGUUGAAACUCAAAGGAAUUGACGGGGACCCGCACAAGCGGUGGAGCAUGUGGUUUAAUUCGAAGCAACGCGAAGAACCUUACCAAAUCUUGACAUCCUUUGACAACUCUAGAGAUAGAGCCUUCCCCUUCGGGGGACAAAGUGACAGGUGGUGCAUGGUUGUCGUCAGCUCGUGUCGUGAGAUGUUGGGUUAAGUCCCGCAACGAGCGCAACCCUUAAGCUUAGUUGCCAUCAUUAAGUUGGGCACUCUAAGUUGACUGCCGGUGACAAACCGGAGGAAGGUGGGGAUGACGUCAAAUCAUCAUGCCCCUUAUGAUUUGGGCUACAUACGUGCUACAAUGGACAAUACAAAGGGCAGCGAAACCGCGAGGUCAAGCAAAUCCCAUAAAGUUGUUCUCAGUUCGGAUUGUAGUCUGCAACUCGACUACAUGAAGCUGGAAUCGCUAGUAAUCGUAGAUCAGCAUGCUACGGUGAAUACGUUCCCGGGUCU